CCUACGGGAGGCAGCAGUGGGGAAUAUUGGGCAAUGGAGGAAACUCUGACCCAGCAACGCCGCGUGAAUGAUGAAGGUCUUCGGAUUGUAAAGUUCUUUUCUAAGGGAAGAAGAAAGUGACGGUACCUUAUGAAUAAGCCUCGGCUAACUACGUGCCAGCAGCCGCGGUAAUACGUAGGAGGCGAGCGUUAUCCGGAAUGACUGGGCGUAAAGGGAGCGUAGGUGGUUUGGCAAGUUAGUAGCGUAACUCCGAGGCUCAACCUUGGAACUACUACUAAAACUGUUGGACUUGAGUGCAGGAUGGGAAACCGGAAUUCCUAGUGUAGCGGUGGAAUGCGUAGAUAUUAGGAGGAACACCGGUGGCGAAGGCGAGUUGCUGGACUGUAACUGACGCUGAGGCACGAAAGCGUGGGGAGCAAACAGGAUUAGAUACCCCUGUAGUC
rnacentral:rRNA from 1 species